rnacentral:rRNA from 1 species
UUACGGGAGGCAGCAGUGGGGAAUAUUGCACAAUGGGCGAAAGCCUGAUGCAGCAACGCCGCGUGAGUGAUGACGGCCUUCGGGUUGUAAAGCUCUGUCUUUGGGGACGAUAAUGACGGUACCCAAGGAGGAAGCCACGGCUAACUACGUGCCAGCAGCCGCGGUAAUACGUAGGUGGCAAGCGUUGUCCGGAUUUACUGGGCGUAAAGGGUGCGUAGGCGGACCUUUAAGUGAGAUGUGAAAUCCCCGAGCUUAACUUGGGGGCUGCAUUUCAAACUGGAGGUCUAGAGUGCAGGAGAGGAGAGUGGAAUUCCUAGUGUAGCGGUGAAAUGCGUAGAGAUUAGGAAGAACACCAGUGGCGAAGGCGACUCUCUGGACUGUAACUGACGCUGAGGCACGAAAGCGUGGGGAGCAAACAGGAUUAGAUACCCUGGUAGA